UUUAUUAACGAGUCUGACCUACAAAGUACCUUUUUCCUCCUCGCAAGAUUUAUAACGACCAGUAUACGUAUAUGUAUAUUACUCUCUUUUAGAUGAUGGCGGAGCUGAUGUCGCAGUAUGCAAAAUUUGCCUGGAUCGAUAAGAUAAAGCGUUGGAAAUAAGGAAGACCUUUUGUAGAGUUAUAUCCUGGUGAGAAUAAGACAUAAAUAAGACUACAGUAAGAAGAUUGCAUACAAAUGCAACGGACCAGGAAAUUUCGGCGCCAAUAAAAAUAUGGCUAGCUCAUGCAAGAGAGCGAAUGCAAAAGCGAUCAGCUCAGAUGAGCAGAUAGGAUCAAACUGAAAGUAAACAGACUUAAUUUAUUUCUAUCAUAUAACGAUGUAUAUGUAUGCACGCACUAGCGGAUCCUGACAUCGAUAAUGGGGGGGUUUUGACGAAAAUGCUUGAUUUUAUAUCAUACUUUCACGGUUAAAUCUUUUUUUUCACUCUUAGCAUCUUCUUAAACUCAGUUACAAUAGAAAUGGGUGCCAUGUUUUUUUAACAAGUACAUCAAAUAUUUUUAUUUAGAUUAAUUUAGCGUCUAGCAUUUAAUGCUUUAUAUGACUGUUAAAGAUUUAAAACCGGUGCACAUGCAAUGUAAAGCAUCAUGCUUCUUUGGGAACUUGAAUGCGUCGCAUAAACGAAAUAUGGUUGCACGUAGUAGAAUUCUGGAAAAUUAACGUGUAAUUGCGGCCACGCUUAACAAUGCAAAUUUUGUGUCGUUUUGUAUUAUUACUAAUAUGAAGAAGUUCAAA